rnacentral:rRNA from 1 species
AGGACGAACGCUGGCGGCGUGCCUAACACAUGCAAGUCGAACGAGGUCCAUCCGGUGGCAACACCGGUGAAGACCGAGUGGCGAACGGGUGAGUAACACGUGAGCAACCUGCCCCGAAGACCGGGAUAACCCCGGGAAACCGGAGCUAAUACCGGAUGUCCCCACCGGGUCACAUGGCCUGGCGAGGAAAUGGAUUCCGCUUCGGGAGGGGCUCGCGGCCUAUCAGCUUGUUGGUGGGGUAACGGCCCACCAAGGCUACGACGGGUAGCUGGUCUGAGAGGACGAUCAGCCACACUGGGACUGAGACACGGCCCAGACUCCUACGGGAGGCAGCAGUGGGGAAUCUUGCGCAAUGGGCGAAAGCCUGACGCAGCAACGCCGCGUGAGGGACGAAGGCCUUCUGGGUUGUAAACCUCUUUCAGCAGGGACGAUUAUGACGGUACCUGCAGAAGAAGCCCCGGCCAACUACGUGCCAGCAGCCGCGGUAAUACGUAGGGGCGAGCGUUGUCCGGAAUCAUUAGGCGUAAAGAGCUCGUAGGCGGCUUUGCAAGUCGGGUGUUAAAAUUCCAGGCUCAACCUGGAGCUGCCACUCGAUACUGCAAUGGCUUGAGUCCGGUAGGGGACCAUGGAAUUCCUGGUGUAGCGGUGAAAUGCGCAGAUAUCAGGAAGAACACCAGUGGCGAAGGCGGUGGUCUGGGCCGGAACUGACGCUGAGGAGCGAAAGCGUGGGGAGCGAACAGGAUUAGAUACCCUGGUAGUCCACGCCGUAAACGUUGGGCACUAGGUGUGGGGACCUAUCGACGGUUUCCGUGCCGCAGCUAACGCAUUAAGUGCCCCGCCUGGGGAGUACGGCCGCAAGGCUA